CCGCGGUAAUACGGAGGGUGCAAGCGUUAUCCGGAUUUACUGGGUUUAAAGGGUGCGCAGGCGGUAAAGUAAGUCAGUGGUGAAAGCUCACAGCUCAACUGUGAAACUGCCAUUGAUACUGCUAUACUUGAGUUUGGGAGAGGUAGGCGGAAUACAUCAUGUAGCGGUGAAAUGCAUAGAUAUGAUGUAGAACACCGAUUGCGAAGGCAGCUUACUAAACCAACACUGACGCUCAUGCACGAAAGCGUGG
rnacentral:rRNA from 1 species